rnacentral:lncRNA from 1 species
GAGCAGAACAUGGUCACUGAGGGCAUUGUGGUUAGCGAAUAACUUCUGAAGAGUCUGAGGAAGGAGAACCCCUUUCAGGCCUAAGUGUCUGGAACAGGAGAGAUGGAGGCUAUAGCUCUCCCUAGGUUUGCAAUUUACUCUGAAUGGAGGACAGACUUCUGGAUCUGGGAUGUAAGAGCCACAACUAAGGGUCUUACUAUGUAGCCUUGGCUGUACUGGAACUCACUAUGAAGAGCAAGCUGGCCUCUAACUCAGAGUCUGAUUCCACAACGGAGCUCAACCUGCUUUCUCGGGGACCAAGCUGCAUUUGAAGCCAGGGAGAGUUCUCAUCUCAGAAGAGGAACAUCUAGAACACAGCAAUGAGGGACUCAGAGAUUGUUUAUGAGGGACCUCUCUGUCAGUAGAGAUGUUGGAAGACAAGAUCAAUAUGCGUAUGACCAUGAAUGUGUUUAUAUGCACACAUUCAGUGAGGGAGAGGGAGCAUAUGUGUGUAUGGCUGAACUGAGCCUGGCAGAGUUAAUCCAUGUGAUGAUAUUAAUCAAUGUUUCCUAUCUGCUGGUGAGUCUCAGACAAUACCCAUGGAGAGGAAAUGGAAUCCCAUUUUAUAGAUGAAUAAAACUGAGAUUCUGACCAUUCUGGUCACCCGCGCAGUCUCACAGAGUAAAGAC